UGGGUGGCAAACCCGUGGGCGCAAUGAAAGUGAAGGCAGGUGCUUGGGGCCUGCUGUGGCGAGAGCCUCCGGGCGCAUCGUCGACCGAUCCCGGGCUACGCUGUGGCGGGAUUUGAGUGAGAGCGUGCCUGUUGCGACCCGAAAGAUGGUGAACUAUGCCUGAAUAGGGUGAAGCCAGAGGAAACCCUGGUGGAAGCUCGCAGCGAUUCUGACGUGCAAAUCGAUCGUCAAAUUUGGGUAUAGGGGCGAAAGACUAAUCGAACCGUCUAGUAGCUGGUUCCCUCCGAAGUUUCCCUCAGGAUAGCUGGAGCCCGUGUUGGCAGUUUUAUCAGGUAAAGCGAAUGAUUAGAGGUCUUGGGGCUGAAACGGCCUCAACCUAUUCUCAAACUUUAAAUGGGUAAGAAGCCCGGCUUGCUCGGUUGAAGUCGGGCGCAGAAUGCCUGGGCUCCCAGUGGGCCAUUUUUGGUAAGCAGAACUGGCGAUGUGGGAUGAACCGAAAGUCGGGUUAAGGUGCCGGAAUCGACGCUCAUCAGAUCCCAUGAAAGGUGUUGGUUGAUCCAGACAGCAGGACGGUGGCCAUGGAAGUCGGAAUCCGC
rnacentral:rRNA from 1 species